ensembl:lncRNA
AUGGCUAGGCAAGACUUUGCCUUCAAUGAAGAGGAACUCCUCCUUCAACAGGCUAAAGCCAAGCAGAAACUGCUUCUAGCUCAGGCUAGGGCCCAGCAAGAAGCUGACCUAGCGCAGGCUAGGGCCCAACAAGAAGCUGACCUAGCACAGGCCAGGGCCCAGAGAGAAAUAGAGCUUGCAAUGGCUGAAGCCAAGCAAGAUGAACUGCAACGGGAUCUAGAUCUGCUUCAAGUAAAAAGAGACACAGCACAAAAGAUAGUCAGAGCUAACAUUCUAGCCAAAGCUCUAUCACAGGAACUAACCCAAGAAAACCUUAGUUUCCUGCCAACACAAGAGCCUACAGCAAAGGUUUCAGCACACCUGCAACUGGCACCACCUGUAGUGCAGAGUCAUAUCUCCUUUUGCCACCUUGAAGAUCGCUCACCUGUUCCAGUGUUCGCGACUUCAAGGCCAGCCCAUUCCUCAGAAGUACAGCAAAGCACGGCCGGGAGAGUGCCAUCUCUGUCAGAGUCCAUCCCUGUACUUAGGCCUCAGAGAUACCACUUGUCUACUUGGGAACAAAAGGAUGACGUCUUUCAACAACAUCCAGAUGUCCAUUCACAUUGGCAAGGCAUGGCCGGGAGUGAACCACCACAUUCAUCCCUGCAUACCAAGUCAAUUCUCCCAUCGCUGAAGAUAAAAGCUUCAGAGGUGCUGCCUGCCAGCAAUCUGCUGAACCCAGCAUCGCCUACCAUCGCGAAAAGAUGUGUUCAACCGAAGAACAUUGAGUUUGUCACGCCACAUCACACUACUCAGAUGUACCCUUACACACUGGAGUCUCAAUUGGGUUCCCUCUUGCGAAAUCCAAGAAGAGACAUCAGAGACAAAGGCGUCCAGAAAUUCACUGACCGACCGGAUGACUACCUUCUGUGGAAAAUCACCUUCAUGAGGGCCAUUCGAGAUUUCAAGCUAGAAGCGGAUGAAGAACUGUCCCUUCUUAUGGCGUGGCUUGGACCCAGCUCAGCCGAGCAAGUAAAAAGACUUUACGCUGCUCAUGUAGCAGACCCCCAAAGAGCUUUGUCCACAGUGUGGUCUCGCUUGGACCAGCGCUUCGGUGCGAGCACUGAGAUAGAAGCAUCCCUCAUGGAUCGACUCAACAGGUUCCCAUCACUGAAGAUGAAAGAUUGCAAACAGCUUUGGGACUUUAGUGAUCUUUUACUAGAGCUAGCUUCAGCCAAAGGAAAUCCAGAGCUGCCAGGUUUAGCAUGUCUGGACCAGCACACGUCGCAGAGUGCCAUCCUCUGCAAACUUCCUUUUCCUCUUCGAGAAGCUUGGGGGAAACAGGUAUUCAAGUACAAAGAGGAGAAUGCAAAUGUAUGCCCGCCCUUCACCUUUUUGGUGGAUUUCGUCACUAGAGCAGCCCGUGAGAGGAAUGACCCUCAAACAGGUCUUCUCGCUUUGUACCAAGACCUAAAGCCUGAAAAGACCUCCAAAGAAGACCAAAAGCCUACAGAACCUCAGGUAGCCCUCAAGGCUCCUGCGGUUGCCUGCACCAAGCUUUGUCAAAAUAGCCACAAGCCCAGGAUUUGCCACCCAAUCUGCCUGGCAGAGGUGUAUCCAGACAAGCAGCCGUGGAAUAAGAAAAGGGUCUACGUCGCCUUGGAUGCCCAAAGUGACGCAUCUCUUGCAACCCCAGAGUUCUUCGACAUGUUCGAUCUUCAUACAGAGACAAUAGAAUACACCAUAUCCACUUGUUCCGGAAAGAAUAAGAUGAAUGGCAGAGUUGCAACAAAGUUCAAAAUCUCGCCUGUCGGACAAAAGGCCAGGUACGAUCUUCCCAACCUUAUAGAAUGCAGCCUGAUUCCCAGGAACAAAGAACAGAUAGCCACGAAGGAGGUGGUACAAGCCCAUCCUCAUCUCAAAGGUAUUCAAGACCUAAUUCCAGCUUUGGACUUAGAAACAGACAUCGUCAUGCUUAUCGGUGCAGAUUGUCCCACACUGUUCCGUGUUAGCAACCAGAUUGAAGGUCCUAAGGGAUCACCCAUGGCCCAGCAGUUGCCUUUAGGAUGGACGGUGUUAGGCCCAGUCUGCCUGAACAAGAUGUUCCAGCCUGUCACUAAAAGGCCUUCACUAAUGCAAGGAUGUGCCAGCCACAUCUCAGUUUGCUGCCAGGGAGUAAUGCCCGAUUACUCUCCCAUCAUCGAAGUCACAGAGAGAGAUGAGCAAACAGCCUUCUCUAAAAAUGAUCAGAAGUUUCUUGAGAUGAUGAACAACCAAGUCACUCAAGACCCUGAAGGUAAUUGGAUAGCACCUUUACCUUUCAAGCUGGAAAGACCAUCUCUACCCAACAACAGAGAUGUUGCCCUUCAUCGUCUCCUGUCCUUAAGAAGAAGGAUGCUAAAGGAUCCGAAGGUAAAGACCCAGAUCACCCAGUUUGUGGAAGACCUCUUCAGAAGCAACUACGCUGAACCAGCCAGCGUGUGUGCGGAGGGAGAAGAGCAGUGGCAUUACAUAUCCACUUCAGAAAAUCCGGCAGAUGUGACAUCCCGAGGAACAUCAGCCGCAAAGUUGUCCAAGUCAUCCUGGAUCACUGGACCCAAAUGUCUUCAAAAUCCUUCCUUUCCAGAAAGCAUUUCCGUGCUCAAAGACACUGAGUUGCCAGAAAUUCAGUCCUGCAAAUCUACCAUCGAUGGCCAAGACUUAUCAAGGCAAGGUUUAAAUCCAGCCAAGUUUGAAAGAUUUUCAAAACGGACUAGACUUCAGGCAGCCAUUACCAGGCUCAUACAUUACAUCACUACAAAAAACAGUGGUGCAAUUCAGCCCCAAGAUCUUUCAAAAGCCUCAACAGGCAUCCUGAGAUCCACUCAAAGACAGUGUUUUUUAGAAGAAAUAGCUUGUCUAGAAAGAAAAGCAUCCUUGCCCAAAAAUAGUUGUUUAAAGGACUUGAACCCCUUCCUGGACAAUGAGGGUCUCCUUAGGGUUGGAGGUAGACUAAAAAGAGCAAAGAUUAGAUCCUGUGUUAAAAAUCCUGUUAUUUUGCCACACCAUAGCCACAUAGCUCUGCUGUUGACACAGCAUUUCCACGCAAAGGUCAAACACCAAGGAAGGUCAUUUACUGAGUCUGCCCUAAGAAACUAUGGGCUUUGGAUUGUUAGGUGCCAACGUAAAGGUUGGGGAUUUCGUGUUACUUAA